rnacentral:rRNA from 1 species
AGAGUUUGAUCCUGGCUCAGGACGAACGCUAGCGACGUGCCCAAGAAAUGCAAGUCGAACGGGGGAGUAAUCCCUAGUGGCGAACGGUCGCGUAACACGUGGGCAACCUGCCCUGAAGCGGGGGACAACAGCUCGAAAGGGCUGCUAAUACCGCAUGUGAAGGGGGAUGGCAUCAUCCCUUGUUCAAAGCUUUAUGCACUUCAGGAUGGGCCCGCGGCCUAUCAGCUUGUUGGUGGGGUAACGGCCUACCAAGGCUUCGACGGGUAGCUGGUCUGAGAGGACGAUCAGCCGGAUUGGGACUGAGAUACGGCCCAGACUCCUACGGGGGGCAGCAAUUAGGAAUCUUGCACAAUGGGGGCAACCCUGAUGCAGCGACGUCGCGUGGAGGAUGAAAUCUUUCGGGAUGUAAACUCCUUUUCUCAGGGAGGAAAAAAUGACGGUACCUGAGGAAUAAGCCCCGGCUAACUACGUGCCAGCAGCCGCGGUAAUACGUAGGGGGCGAGCGUUGUCCGAAGUUACUGGGCGUAAAGAGCGCGUAGGCGGGCUCCUAAGUGAGGGGUGAAAGGUUCGGGCUCAACCCGGAGAGUGCCUUUCAUACUGGGAGCCUUGAGUGCGGGAGAGGCAAGUGGAAUGGUCGGUGUAGCGGUGAAAUGCGUAGAUAUCGAUCGGAACACCCGUGGCGAAGGCGGCUUGCUGGCUCGCAACUGACGCUGAGGCGCGAAAGCGUGGGGAGCAAACAGGAUUAGAUACCCUGGUAGUCCACGCCGUAAACGAUGAGUACUAGAUGUCCGGGGUAUCGACCCCCCUGGUGUCGCAGCUAACGCAAUAAGCACUCCGCCUGGGGAGUACGGCCGCAAGGUUGAAACUCAAAGGAAUUGACGGGGGCCCGCACAAGCGGUGGAGCAUGUGCAUUAAUUCGUCACUAACCGAAGAACCUUACCAGGGUUUGACAUCUCUGGACAUGCCAUGAAAGUGGUCCUUCCCCGCAAGGGGACCAGAAGACAGGUGUUGCAUGGUUGUCGUCAGCUCGUGUCGUGAGAUGUUGGGUUAAGUCCCGCAACGAGCGCAACCCUCACCCAAUGUUGCCAGCGUUAAGUCGGGCACUCUUUGGGAACUGCCCAUGUAAGUGGGAGGAAGCUGGGGAUGACGUCAAAUCGGCAUGGCCCUUACAUCCUGGGCUUGACACAUGCUACAAUGGCCGUUAAACAAAGCGAAGCAAGACCGCGAGGUGGAGCCAAUCGCAAAAAUACGGUCUCAGUUCGGAUUGCAGGCUGCAACUCGCCUGCAUGAAGUCGGAAUCGCUAGUAACCGCAGGUCAGCUAAACUGCGGUGAAUACGUUCCCGGGCCUUGUACACACUGCCCGUCAAGUCACCUGAGUUGUCUGCAGCCGAAGCCAGUGGCUCAACCGCAAGGAGGGAGCUGUCUAAGCUGUGGGGAGCGAGGGGGACUAAGUCGUAACAAGGUAGCCCGUAUCGGAAGGUGCGGCUGGAUCACC